rnacentral:sRNA from 1 species
CUGACAGCCCUGGAAACUGAGGUGUUCAUACUUAUUUGCAGGACAAGCAACAGUAGUGCAAGCUUCCCCGUGCUGACCUGCUGAUGUGUCUCAGCUCUGACCUGGAGGGACCACCUCUAAAAAUGUGAAUGGUUUCUGUCCUCUUUCAGUCCUUAAUCUUU